CAUGGUUGGGGGUGUAAAGCUUUUGCGGUGUGGGAUGGGCCCGCGGCCUAUCAGCUUGUUGGUGGGGUAAUGGCCUACCAAGGCGACGACGGGUAGCCGGCCUGAGAGGGUGACCGGCCACACUGGGACUGAGAUACGGCCCAGACUCCUACGGGAGGCAGCAGUGGGGAAUAUUGCACAAUGGGCGCAAGCCUGAUGCAGCGACGCCGCGUGAGGGAUGACGGCCUUCGGGUUGUAAACCUCUUUCAAUAGGGACGAAGCGCAAGUGACGGUACCUAUAGAAGAAGGACCGGCCAACUACGUG
rnacentral:rRNA from 1 species